rnacentral:misc_RNA from 1 species
AACGCAUAUGGCACCUGCUAGUUGUGCUAGGAGGUAUGCCUGUUUGAGAAUCGUCCUUUUUGUCCUCCUGUUCCCGCUUGUUGGGGAGGGGAGGGACGUGGGCCUUCACCGGUGAUCGCCUUGAAUGCGGUGCGGUUGUGUCGUGACAGUGCGGAUGGAUCGACCGACUGCUGCUUUUGACAACGGUCUCAAAUCAGGCAGGAUGACCCGCUGAACUUAA